UUGGAGGGCAAGUCUGGUGCCAGCAGCCGCGGUAAUUCCAGCUCCAAUAGCGUAUAUUAAAGUUGUUGCAGUUAAAAAGCUCGUAGUUGAAUUUCGGGAUUGACACAUCGGUCGUGCCUUAAGGGGUGUGAACUGGUGUAGUCAAUUUCUCACCUUCUGGAGAACCGCGAUGUCCUUAAUUGGGUGCCGCGAGGAACCAGGACCUUUACUUUGAAAAAAUUAGAGUGUUUAAAGCAGGCAUUUUUGCUUGAAUACAUUAGCAUGGAAUAAUAAAAUAGGACGGCAUGAUUCUAUUUUGUUGGUUUCUAGGAUCACCGUAAUGAUUAAUAGGGAUAGUUGGGGGCAUUAGUAUUCAAUUGUCAGAGGUGAAAUUCUUGGAUUUAUUGAAGACUAACUACUGCGAAAGCAUUUGCCAAGGAUGUUUUCAUUAAUCAAGAACGAAAGUUAGGGGAUCGAAGACGAUCAGAUACCGUCGUAGUCUUAACCAUAAACUAUGCCGACUAGGAAUCAGACGAUGUUAAUUUUUUAAUGACUCGUUUGGCACCUUACGGGAAACCAAAGUGUUUGGGUUC
rnacentral:rRNA from 1 species